AACCCUUGUGGAGGAGGACGCCGAAGGUGGGGCUAAUGACUGGGGUGAAGUCGUAACAAGGUAGCCGUACCGGAAGGUGCGGCUGGAUCACCUCCUAACAGGGAGACAACAAAAUGUUUAAUAUUAUUAUUUUGUCACCUUAGGUCGAUCGGUAUCUCACAUUCUUAAUUUAUUAAGGAUUUUAUUUCCUAAGUUUUUUCUAGGUCACACCCAUUACUUUUCCUGGGCCAUUAGCUCAGGUGGUUAGAGCGCACCCCUGAUAAGGGUGAGGUCCCUGGUUCAAGUCCAGGAUGGCCCAUAUCUCUAUGUUGGGGGUAUAGCUCAGUUGGUAGAGCGCCUGCUUUGCAAGCAGGAUGUCAGCGGUUCGAGUCCGCUUACCUCCACUGAUUACCACCUCUUCCAUAAUUUUUAUUAAGGAAAUGUUUUGAGUAGUGAUCAAAUUCUGAACGAAUCUAGCUUCCUAAUGAAUUCAUUAAGAUGCUGGACUCAUUGAAUUAUUUUCAUUGUUUUCAGAGAACCUUGACAACUGCAUAGAUUAUUUUUAAAGACAAUAAGCAUCUUUAUGAUGCAGAUUUAUUAUUUGUGCGAAUGCAUUAAUAACAAUUCUAUUAAGCUGAUGCUUCAAUUAUGAAGUUAUUGGUCAAGCUACAAAGGGCUCACGGAGGAUACCUAGGCACACAGAGGCGAUG
rnacentral:misc_RNA from 1 species